rnacentral:rRNA from 1 species
CACGCCGUAAACGAUGAAUGCUAGGUGUUGGGGGUCAAACCUCGGUGCCGAAGUUAACACAUUAAGCAUUCCGCCUGGGGAGUACGGUGGCAACACUGAAACUCAAAGGAAUUGACGGGGACCCGCACAAGCAGCGGAGCAUGUGGUUUAAUUCGAUGCAACGCGAAGAACCGUACCAGGGCGUGACAUAUAUGCGCUAGCACUAGAGAUAGUGGUUUCUCUUCGGAGACGUAUAUACAGGUGG